rnacentral:rRNA from 1 species
GAUGAACGCUGGCGGCGUGCCUAAUACAUGCAAGUAGAACGCUGAAGGAGGAGCUUGCUCUUCUGGAUGAGUUGCGAACGGGUGAGUAACGCGUAGGUAACCUGCCUGUAGCGGGGGAUAACUAUUGGAAACGAUAGCUAAUACCGCAUGACAACAGUUAUUGCAUGAUAACUGUUUAAAAGGGGCAACUGCUCCACUACCAGAUGGACCUGCGUUGUAUUAGCUAGUUGGUGAGGUAACGGCUCACCAAGGCGACGAUACAUAGCCGACCUGAGAGGGUGAUCGGCAACAAUGGGACGAAGACAGGGCACAGACUUCCCAGGGAGGCAGCAGUAAGGAAUCUUCGGCAAUGGACGGAAGUCGGACGGAGCGAAGCCGCGCGAGUGACGCAGGGUUUCGGAUCGUAAAGCUCUGUUUUAAGAGAAGAACGAGUGUGCGCUUGGACCGUCCACACUGCGACGGUCCCUUACCAGAAAGCAACGGCUAACUACGUC